rnacentral:rRNA from 1 species
CACGUAGGGGACGAGCGUUGUCCGGAUUCAUUGGGUUUAAAGGGAUCGUAGGCGGCCUUGUAAGUCAGUGGUGAAAUCUCUCGGCUUAACUGAGAAACUGCCAUUGAUACUGCAGGGCUUGAGUAUAGUUGCCGUUGGCGGAAUAUGACAUGUAGUGGUGAAAUACAUAGAGAUGUCAUAGGACACCGAUUGCGAAGGCAGCUGACGAAACUAUAACUGACGCUGAGGCUCGAAAGUGUGGGGAUCAAACAGG